rnacentral:rRNA from 1 species
UCCAGACUCCUACGGGAGGCAGCAGUGGGGAAUAUUGCACAAUGGGGGAAACCCUGAUGCAGCGACGCCGCGUGAGUGAAGAAGUAUUUCGGUAUGUAAAGCUCUCUCAGCAGGGAAGAAAAUGGCGGUACCUGACUAAGAAGCCCCGGCUAACUACGUGCCAGCAGCCGCGGUAAUACGUAGGGGGCAAGCGUUAUCCGGAUUUACUGGGUGUAAAGGGAGCGUAGACGGCAUGGCAAGUCAGAUGUGAAGGCCCGGGGCUCAACCCCGGGACUGCAUUUGAAACUGUCAGGCUGGAGUGCAGGAGAGGUAAGUGGAAUUCCUAGUGUAGCGGUGAAAUGCGUAGAUAUUAGGAGGAACACCAGUGGCGAAGGCGGCUUACUGGACUGUAACUGACGUUGAGGCUCGAAAGCGUGGGGAGCAAACAGGAUUAGAUACCCCAGUAGGA